AUUUCAGGCAUCCAGCAGGAUUGCAGAGCUCUGAAACAGGCCUGCAAAGUCACCCUGAGAGGCGUGUCAAGGUUAUUGAUGGACCUCCUCUAGUUAUGCACCGAGAAAAGCAGCUAAAUCCACAUGGAGACAAUUGUUCCUUGGGAACCAACCAUUACCUAAGGGAUGAUUUUUGAUGCAGGAUUUUCAUUAAAAAGUUUUCCCUCGCAGCGUAAAUCACCUGCAGCUCCAGAGGGGUCCUAAGGCAAAAGCCUUUGUGGGAACUCGGGA